GCAGGAGCACUCCUACGGAGGCAGCAGUGGGGAAUAUUGCACAAUGGGCGCAAGCCUGAUGCAGCCAUGCCGCGUGUAUGAAGAAGGCCUUCGGGUUGUAAAGUACUUUCAGCAGUGAGGAAGGUGGGUAUGUUAAUAGCAUACUCAUUUGACGUUAGCUGCAGAAGAAGCACCGGCUAACUCCGUGCCAGCAGCCGCGGUAAUACGGAGGGUGCGAGCGUUAAUCGGAAUUACUGGGCGUAAAGCGCAUGCAGGUGGUUUGUUAAGUCAGAUGUGAAAGCCCGGGGCUCAACCUCGGAAUUGCAUUUGAAACUGGCAAACUAGAGUACUGUAGAGGGGGUAGAAUUUCAGGUGUAGCGGUGAAAUGCGUAGAGAUCUGAAGGAAUACCGGUGGCGAAGGCGGCCCCCUGGACAGAUACUGACACUCAGAUGCGAAAGCGUGGGGAGCAAACAGGAUUAGAUACCCUGGUAG
rnacentral:rRNA from 1 species